GAUGAACGCUAGCUACAGGCUUAACACAUGCAAGUCGAGGGGAAACGACAUUAAGUGCUUGCACUUUUUGGACGUCGACCGGCGCACGGGUGAGUAACGCGUAUCCAACCUUCCCAUGACUAAGGGAUAACCUGCCGAAAGGCAGACUAAUACCUUAUGGUCUUCACUGACGGCAUCAGAUGUGAAGUAAAGAUUUAUCGGUUAUGGAUGGGGAUGCGUCUGAUUAGCUUGUUGGCGGGGUAACGGCCCACCAAGGCAACGAUCAGUAGGGGUUCUGAGAGGAAGGUCCCCCACAUUGGAACUGAGACACGGUCCAAACUCCUACGGGAGGCAGCAGUGAGGAAUAUUGGUCAAUGGGCGAGAGCCUGAACCAGCCAAGUAGCGUGCAGGAUGACGGCCCUAUGGGUUGUAAACUGCUUUUGUAUGGGGAUAAAGUCAAUCACGUGUGAUUGUUUGCAGGUACCAUACGAAUAAGGACCGGCUAAUUCCGUGCCAGCAGCCGCGGUAAUACGGAAGGUCCGGGCGUUAUCCGGAUUUAUUGGGUUUAAAGGGAGCGUAGGCUGGAGAUUAAGUGUGUUGUGAAAUGUAGGCGCUCAACGUCUGACUUGCAGCGCAUACUGGUUUCCUUGAGUACGCACAACGUUGGCGGAAUUCGUCGUGUAGCGGUGAAAUGCUUAGAUAUGACGAAGAACUCCGAUUGCGAAGGCAGCUGACGGGAGCGCAACUGACGCUGAAGCUCGAAGGUGCGGGUAUCGAACAGG
rnacentral:rRNA from 1 species